GACGAACGCUGGCGGCGUGCCUAAUACAUGCAAGUCGAACGAACUCUGGUUUUUGAUUGACGGUGCUUGCACCUGAUUGAUUAAACAUUUGAGUGAGUGGCGAACUGGUGAGUAACACGUAGGAAACCUGCCCAGAAGCGGGGGAUAACACCUGGAAACAGAUGCUAAUACCGCAUAACAACUUGAACCGCAUGGUUCGAGUUUGAAAGAUGGCUCUGCUAUCACUUCUGGAUGGUCCUGCGGCGUAUUAGCUAGAUGGUGAGGUAACGGCUCACCAUGGGAAAGAUACGUAGCCGACCUGAGAGGGUAAUCGGCCACAUUGGGACUGAGACACGGCCCAAACUCCUACGGGAGGCAGCAGUAGGGAAUCUUCCACAAUGGACGAAAGUCUGAUGGAGCAACGCCGCGUGAGUGAAGAAGGGUUUCGGCUCGUAAAACUCUGUUGUUAGAGAAGAACAUAUCUGAGAGUAACUGUUCAGGUAUUGACGGUAUCUAACCAGAAAGCCACGGCUAACUACGUGCCAGCCGCCGCAGUAA
rnacentral:rRNA from 1 species